rnacentral:rRNA from 1 species
GCUUUACACAUGCAAGUUCGAACGGGUAACAGGUCUUCGGAUGCUGACGAGUGGCGAACGGGUGAGUAAUACAUCGGAACGUGCCUAGUAGUGGGGGAUAACUACUCGAAAGAGUAGCUAAUACCGCAUGAGAUCUACGGAUGAAAGCAGGGGACCUUCGGGCCUUGUGCUACUAGAGCGGCUGAUGGCAGAUUAGGUAGUUGGUGGGGUAAAGGCUUACCAAGCCUGCGAUCUGUAGCUGGUCUGAGAGGACGACCAGCCACACUGGGACUGAGACACGGCCCAGACUCCUACGGGAGGCAGCAGUGGGGAAUUUUGGACAAUGGGCGAAAGCCUGAUCCAGCAAUGCCGCGUGCAGGAUGAAGGCCCUCGGGUUGUAAACUGCUUUUGUACGGAACGAAAAGCCUGGGGCUAAUACCCCCGGGUCAUGACGGUACCGUAAGAAUAAGCACCGGCUAACUACGUGCCAGCAGCCGCGGUAAUACGUAGGGUGCAAGCGUUAAUCGGAAUUACUGGGCGUAAAGCGUGCGCAGGCGGUUUUGUAAGACAGUGGUGAAAUCCCCGGGCUCAACCUGGGAACUGCCAUUGUGACUGCAAGGCUAGAGUGCGGCAGAGGGGGAUGGAAUUCCGCGUGUAGCAGUGAAAUGCGU